GCUGGGCAUAGUGGCCUGUGCCUGUAAUCCCAGCUACUCAGGAGGCUGAGGCAGGAGAAUUGCUUGAGCCUGGGAGGUGGAGGUUGCAGUGAGCUGAAAUCACACCACUGCACUCCAGCCUAGGUGACAAAGUGAGACUCUGUUUCAA
rnacentral:SRP_RNA from 1 species